rnacentral:rRNA from 1 species
CCUACGGGCGGCAGCAGUGAGGAAUAUUGGUCAAUGGACGAAAGGCUGAACCAGCCAAGUAGCGUGAAGGAUGAAGGCCCUAUGGGUUGUAAACUUCUUUUAUAGAGGAAUAAAGGGAGGCACGUGUGGAUAUUUGCAUGUACUCUAUGAAUAAGGAUCGGCUAACUCCGUGCCAGCAGCCGCGGUAAUACGGAGGAUGCGAGCGUUAUCCGGAUUUAUUGGGUUUAAAGGGGGCGUAGGUUGGUUUUUAAGUCAGCUGUGAAAGUUUGUGGCUCAACCGUAAAAUUGCCGUUGAUACUGGCAGUCUUGAGUGUGUUUGAGGUAGGCGGAAUUCGUGGUGUAGCGGUGAAAUGCUUAGAUAUCACGCAGAACCCCGAUUGCGAAGGCAGCUUACUAAGCCGUGACUGACACUGAUGCUCGAAAGCGUGGGUAUCAAACAGGAUUAGAUACCCGUGUAGUC